CGAGUUAUCUGAACCUUCGGGGAACGAUAACGGCGUCGAGCGGCGGACGGGUGAGUAAUGCCUAGGAAAUUGCCCUGAUGUGGGGGAUAACCAUUGGAAACGAUGGCUAAUACCGCAUGAUGCCUACGGGCCAAAGAGGGGGACCUUCGGGCCUCUCGCGUCAGGAUAUGCCUAGGUGGGAUUAGCUAGUUGGUGAGGUAAGGGCUCACCAAGGCGACGAUCCCUAGCUGGUCUGAGAGGAUGAUCAGCCACACUGGAACUGAGACACGGUCCAGACUCCUACGGGAGGCAGCAGUGGGGAAUAUUGCACAAUGGGCGCAAGCCUGAUGCAGCCAUGCCGCGUGUGUGAAGAAGGCCUUCGGGUUGUAAAGCACUUUCAGUCGUGAGGAAGGUAGUGUAGUUAAUAGCUGCAUUAUUUGACGUUAGCGACAGAAGAAGCACCGGCUAACUCCGUGCCAGCAGCCGCGGUAAUACGGAGGGUGCGAGCGUUAAUCGGAAUUACUGGGCGUAAAGCGCAUGCAGGUGGUUUGUUAAGUCAGAUGUGAAAGCCCGGGGCUCAACCUCGGAAUAGCAUUUGAAACUGGCAGACUAGAGUACUGUAGAGGGGGGGUAGAAUUUCAGGUGUAGCGGUGAAAUGCGUAGAGAUCUGAAGGAAUACCGGUGGCGAAGGCGGCCCCCUGGACAGAUACUGACACUCAGAUGCGAAAGCGUGGGGAGCAAACAGGAUUAGAUACCCUGGUAGUCCACGCCGUAAACGAUGUCUACUUGGAGGUUGUGGCCUUGAGCCGUGGCUUUCGGAGCUAACGCGUUAAGUAGACCGCCUGGGGGAGUACGGUCGCAAGAUUAAAACUCAAAUGAAUUGACGGGGGCCCGCACAAGCGGUGGAGCAUGUGGUUUAAUUCGAUGCAACGCGAAGAACCUUACCUACUCUUGACAUCCAGAGAACUUUCCAGAGAUGGAUUGGUGCCUUCGGGAACUCUGAGACAGGU
rnacentral:rRNA from 1 species